GGCUCACCAAGCACAAUGGCUGCUGGGAAGUGGAGUGCCAAGUUUGCAACCAGAUUAACAGCAUAGCACCAGGACAGAUCAGAAAAGUCCUUCUGCUAAUUGUUCCUCUCAGGCUUCCAGUGUCACUCUGUGGAGCACCAUUGGAGUGACCAUAGGUAAGAACUGACUCGGAAAAAAAGAGCACACCAUGACACUUCAGACCCCUUUUUUGCCAAGGCUUGGUUUAGAAACCACUGUAGUUAAUAACACACUGCAUUGGGAUGCUGAGCCUGUUUCAUAGUCUUUGACCACUUUCAUUCAUAAAAUGGUAAGCCUAGGAGGAUUUUAUAUAAUUACUCUUCUUGAUAAUGUUUGCCUUGGCCUUUCAGUGUUUCCUAUGUUUGACUUUUUUUUUCUCUUCACAUUCAGUGUUAUUUGGGGUCUUACUAAGGCUUGCCAAAAGCAUAAAGUUAGAUUUUCUGAAACAGUAAUGUUUUCCUUAUUCUAAUACCAGUUCACCUUUUUAAAAGUUAUUUACUAAGUAGCUUUAUAAAAAAAUUUUUUCUACAUCAAGGCAUUUUAAUGCUGAGAGACACAAACAAGUUACAAGAAGAGUUAUUGUUGCAUUGAUUUAGGAAUUUAGUGGCCUCAUACAGUGGCAGGUUGAAGUCAGGGUGAGAAUCAUGAGAACAAAAAGGCCAGACUAAGUCCACAGACACAAAUUGCCAUUGGCCACUUCGCUCUCAGCUAGAGAAAUCUCUGACAUUUAUGACAGCAAUGUCACCAUACAAGUGGGCAGGUUUUUCUUUUCCCUGUAUGACCUGACUGAAUUCAUUACAUAAGCAGAGAUACGUACCAUCGGUUUUAUAAAACAGAAUCUGGGCUGCUAUUAUUAAAAUUACCAGCACUUUCUCUUUUUUUCUCUUCCCUCCCCUUCCCUUCCCUUCCCUUCCCUUCCCUUCCCUUCCCUUCCUCUUCCUCUUCCUCUUCCUCUUCCUCUUCCUCUUUCUCUUUCUCUUUCUUUCUUUCUCAUCAUAUGCAGUUUUCCCUCCCUUAUUUGAAAUGUAUUUUUCCAGAAUCUGAUAUUCCAUAAUUAAAUUUAUGCUGAAAUUCAGACCAAACGGGGUGCAGUGAAUUAUGUCGAAAUUGUUUCAGUUUUAUCUGAAGAGAAAUUUUUUAUAACAAACUCAUCAGAAUGUUUGUGUCUGUAAGUUUUAAGCUAGCGGUGAUCACACUGCUGUUAAUAUAAAAGGGAAAACAAUUGUUAUAAUUAGAAAAAAAAAAAAAACAAUGGGAAAAUAGAGCCAAAGUAGUUUUAGUUCCAUGUUUCUCCUGCCGGUUGCACAUCUGUAUUCCAGUGGGUCGUGGCAACUCAAAUUCACUCUAAAAUCCUAUUUUCUUCUAUUAUUUCACCCAUUGCCUGCUCCACUGCAAGAUACUUAAGGGAAGAGAUUAUGGCUUAUUCAUCUUUCAAUCCAUGGUGGUUUUAGCUCAGUGCCUAGUGCACAGUAGAGUUUUCAUGAAUAUUUAUUGAAUAAUAGGUCUGCCUCUCCUCCCAGGCUGCCAAAUUAAGGUUAUUACAGUGCCAGUCUCGCAGACUUUAGAAUUCAGUGUAAUCUUUGCCUUCUAAAUGCAGCAAUGCUCAAACGACACAAAUUCCAAAUGACUUUCAAACGUGCCUUCUUCUGUCCGUAGAACCGUUUACUAGUAGAGUUUUUCUGUCUUCUGGCAUUAAUGUCUGCUUCCUGCUCUGUUUAUUUUGAGCCUGUCCCCUUUCUGAUCUCCCCCAAACUGCUCUUCCAGGUGACAUUGUGACACAUUUCUUUGGGUCAGAUUUCAAAAUCUCUUCAGAUCUAGAGAAAGGAGCUCUCUGUCUUUACAUCAAGUCCUCUGAAAUACAGUCCUGGUCUGUUCCUUGGUUGGAGACAGGGGGAUUGUCAGGUUCUUCCUGUCCUGUGUGGAGUGCAGAUAGUUUGGGAAAUAGAAUAAUUACCUUUCCAGACCUGAAGACUGGCUCAGUUUUCCUUUCUCUCUCUCUCUCUCCCUCUCUCUCUCUCUCUCUCUCUCUCUCUCUCUCUCUCUCUCUCUCUCUCUCUCUCUCUUUUCUUUCUUUCUUUCUUUCUUUCUUUCUUUCUUUCUUUCUUUCUUUCUUUCUUUCUUUCUUUCUUUCUUUUUCUACAUACAUUAUUUCUGUAUCUCUUGGCACCACACAGUAAUAUGUCUCAGCACAUCUACAUGCAUUUUUCCCAAACUGGUGUGAAUUUUUUCACUUGUUCAAGUUGAGUGCUACUGCCACAAUUCUAUGAGCAGAGGUCUUCAUCCACGGUGUGUGUGCACUGUGAGUUUAAGUAACACACACAUUUCUUGAACCGUCAUUUACUCUGUAAGAAAUUCCACAUUUUCAUCUGACAUCUCUCGUCUCUGUAACUUCCCCUCUGCCUUUCUUUCUUCCUUGCCUUCCUGCUUCUCGCUAUCUUGCCCUCCUCCCUUGCUUCCUUUUCUCCUUUCCUGCCUUCUCUUUCUCCCUUUUUCAUAUCUACAAAUACUUCCCAGAUAUUUUUUACCAUGUAUAUCCACUGCAAAAGUGGUCUCACAUUUUGCAAACAUAUCAUCUCAUACUUGAAAACAUGGUGAGUUAGUUGAGAAUUCACUCUAUUUUUUUCAAAAUAGUUUCACACAUAGUGAAACAACACAGUCAGUAGAUUUGAAUGUCAUUAUUUGUUUAAAGAACUUUAU
rnacentral:lncRNA from 1 species